UAGGCCAGGAAGUGACGCCUCUCGGAGGCGGGCCCAAAGGGAGGCUGGGCCGCGGCUGCGCGUCGUACCGGAGCGAGGCCGAUGGCCGCGGGCGACGGAGGGAGAAGCGGGAGGUAGAAGAACGAGCGGAGGAGUCGCGGAAUCCGGCUCUGGGGCUGGCAGGGCCGCCGCCUCGGCUCGGACUAGCCCCGGAAACAAACGAGCCGGACGUGACGCACGCCAGCCCCGGGAUGGUGGCUGGCCGGGUUGUCAUGGGAACCGGUGUGGAGCCGGGCGGUGGAGGCUAGGCGCUGCGAGCGCGGACUGCGUGAUCCCCGGCUUCCGCCUCCCGGACUCGCCCCUUGUCCAGAUGAUCUGCGAGCAGCUCUCCCGACUGAGCCUGAGCAGGAGCUGACAGUUGGAGUCCUCGCCCCAUUUUACAGACACAAAUACCGAGGCUUAAAGAGAGCAAGUGAGGUGCCAGGAUCACGCGAGAUGGAAUCAGGCCUUGAGAGGACUGUCUUUAAGAACGGGGCUCCCAGCUUUGCCUUUGCCACUUACCAGGGGCGUGACCUUGGGCAAGUUACCUCGCCUAUACGAGCCUCAGCUUUUUCACUUGCCUUUCAUAUUGCCUCCUUGCUUUGCGACUUUCACCGGACACCUUAGUACCAGCAUGGUCUACACUGGCUUCAAUCAUGGUGUGGCUUGGACUUGUCUAUACUCCCACCAAACGUAUUGACCGUGAGCUCACCGAGGACUCAGUUUUUGUGGUUCACCACUCCACUGAAUCCUUAGUGAUUGUCUAACACGUAUCCAAGACUUUGUCAGACAUAUUUGCGAUUGGACCAUGAUUCUCUCUCUCAAACUUAACCCCAGACAUUCGUUGAAGUCUCGGAGCCCACUCCAUGCCUUGUUCUCUUCCCCCAUCAUGCUCUUCUACCCUUCUGGCCUCCGUGCCUCUAUAUGCUGUUCCCUCAGUGUAAAUGUUUUUCCCCCUCACCUCUUUCCUUCCCAAGAUAGAUAAGUAGAUAGAUAGAUAGAUAGAUAGAUAGAUAGACUGACUUUAAACCUGACACCCCCACAAAACCUGGAGCUCCUUACUCAUCUGUGUUUCCCCUGAGCUCUGCACGCGUCUGAUCUGGAUGUGCCCAACAGAUGUUCCUUGAUGGCAGGAUUCUCUCUCAGUCUUAGUGUCGCCAGCUAAAGCCACUGGGUCUUGUCUCAGAGGAGCCAAUGACAAAAUACACAGGGAAACGUUUGGAGAACCAGCAACCCGCUCUUCAAACAGCAGUGAUGACUACAUCUGUUGCUAUCUGAACACCACUCCGGGUCUUUGUGCACUUCAACCUUUAUCACCUCGGGUUUAGGCUCCUCUCUUAAUUAUCUGCAAAGUGAUGGUGAGAAAAACUGUCCCACAGAACUCUCUGCCUUUGCAACAACUCAAAACUUUCCUUUGGAAACUGUUACAAGACUGCACAAUGGUGGCUAAGAAGUCCCUUACAGCUCUGUGGUUCUGGGGCAGCCAAAAGGGAAACAGAUUUUUAAGGAGACUUUACCAGUAGGAAACCCUGGUCAUUGAGAUGCAGUGACAUUUUAUAUCAGAAAGGACCCAAGGUCUCCCCAAGGGAGUCAUGUUUCUCAUCUUUUAGACAGGGUUGAAGGCCUGAGAUUUCUCUGCUUGGUGAUGUGCAAUGAUAGAAGCAUCCUUUUCAGAUUUCAUUACAUAAUGAUUAGCAGAUUAUAUAAUAGACAUGUGACAAUGAUUAGGCACCUCUACUUCCUCAGGGCCAACAACACGAAAAAUCUACCUACUUCUUUCUAUUUUUUACUUUUUUUAUCACAAAAAAAUAAUGCAUGAAUUUCAAUGAUACAGAUGUGUUUAGAACAAAAAAGGAAAAAGGAAAGCAACCCUAUGACACAGCAAUUUGAUUUAUUGGAAUCUACCAGAGAAGCAAGCAUAAGUACACAGACCUGUUGCAUCCUUGUUUGUAUUGCAAAAGCAAAAACCAAAAACAUUCUAAGUGUCCAUCAAUAGGGAAAUGAAGUAUCCAUCCUAAUGAAUACUAUGUAUCGCUUAAAAAAGAUAAUGUAAACCUACCUUACUCUGCAGUACAUUUUGUGGAAUGAAAAAAGAAAGACAUCCCCCGGAAAUGGAAUACAAAACAUCAACCAAUAUUAUAUACGUUCUAAAGGGAAAAUUGGGGUCACAGAGUGGACUUUUCCAUAAAUGGUGUUGGAACAACUGGAUAGCCAUCGAGAAAAGCUAAUGUUGGAUCCACCCGUCACACCACAUACAAAAAUUAAUUUGAGACAGAUCAUAGAUCUAAAUAUAAAGGCUAAACCCACAAAACUUCUAAAUGAACAUGUUGGAGACUA